rnacentral:rRNA from 1 species
AGGACGAACGCUGGCGGCGUGCUUAACACAUGCAAGUCGAGCGGUAAGGCCUUUCGGGGUACACGAGCGGCGAACGGGUGAGUAACACGUGGGUGAUCUGCCCUGCACUCUGGGAUAAGCCUGGGAAACUGGGUCUAAUACCGGAUAUGACCUGCUCUCGCAUGGGGGGUGGGUGGAAAGAUUUAUCGGUGCAGGAUGGGCCCGCGGCCUAUCAGCUUGUUGGUGGGGUAAUGGCCUACCAAGGCGACGACGGGUAGCCGACCUGAGAGGGUGACCGGCCACACUGGGACUGAGACACGGCCCAGACUCCUACGGGAGGCAGCAGUGGGGAAUAUUGCACAAUGGGCGAAGGCCUGAUGCAGCGACGCCGCGUGAGGGAUGAAGGCCUUCGGGUUGUAAACCUCUUUCAGCGAGGACGAAGCGCGAAGUGACGGUACCUGCAGAAGAAGCGACCGGCUAACUACGUGCCAGCGAGCCGAC